rnacentral:lncRNA from 1 species
CUUGAUUGGUAGAAAAAUUUGAAAACCGGAUUACUCAAAAACCGUUCGUUGUAAAUACACAAUUUUUUCACAGAGUUAUGUUUGAUUAUAAUAUUUUUAAAAUUCAUUGAUAUUUUUCACUUGUAUCACAUGAUUUGGAAAUAAUUCAAGAACGAGAUUUCAACGAGACUGAAAAGUCAGAAGAAUACAUCCUUAAUGUUGUCCCUAAAACCUGAAAGUCUUAAAUUACAAUGAAUCUAUGUUUUUGCUUUGAGACCAGAAUAUUGUCGAAAAAUUAGCUAAAAAUCAAUUGCCUUUCAAUGUAAGUAAAAGUCGGGAUAUGCGCAGAAUGCACGAUUUUGCGUUAAUUUUCUCAGAGCUUCUGGG